UAACACCAAGGAAUGUUUUUCUCGCAAUAUUUUUCAGUGAGAGACGGAAAGGAAUCAAAACUGGCUACCUCAGCCAGUGGCGAGUAAUGCACAUAAGGACAAG
rfam:Vibrio azureus NBRC 104587 DNA, contig: VAZ01S038.